rnacentral:sRNA from 1 species
CCCCAAACCCGAUGGUAGCGGAAAGCUUUUUGUUGCCGUGUUUCGACAAGUUCAACAUGACAAUCACAAAAACUUUAAGCGAAUCAGCGGGGCCGAAC